rnacentral:rRNA from 1 species
CGGAUUUAGUUGCUAGGCGUAGACCGAACCGGAUGAUCUAUCCAUGGCCAGGAUGAAGUGCCGUAACAGGUACUGGAGGUCCGAACCACUAAUAGUUGAAAAUUAGGGGAUGAGCUGUGGAUAGGGGUGAAAGGCUAACAAAUCCGGAAUAGCUGGUUCUCCCCCGAAAAACUAUUUAGGUAGUGCGUCUUGUAUCACUGACGGGGGUAAAGCACUGUUAUGGCUAGGGGGUCAUCGCGACUUACCAAACCAUGGCAAACUCUGAAUACCGUCAAGUGCGAGCAAGGCAGACAGACAGUGGGUGCUAACGUCCAUUGUCAAGAGGGAAACAACCCAGACCGCCAGCUAAGGUCCCCAAGACACAGUUAAGUGGGAAACGAGGUGGGAAGGCAUAGACAGCUAGGAGGUUGGCUUAGAAGCAGCCAUCCUUUAAAGAAAGCGUAAUAGCUCACUAGUCGAGUCGUCCUGCGCGGAAGAUGUAACGGGGGCUCAAACUGUGCACCGAAGCUGCGGAUAUCGAAAGAUAUGGUAGGGGAGC